GAAGUCGAAGAAGCAUAGUAAGGUAACUUUUGUCGAGUAACGUACUGAUUAGCAUGAUGACAGACUGAUCCCGGUGGUUUGUGAGUUUCCAGAGCUUUAUAACUGAUUUUUAUAAGUUUAGGCAGAACAAGUAUGUAUCGUUUUAUUUUAAGCUAGGCUGUAAAGUUAGCACUAAUGCUAAUUUAGCUACCAAUAAUAACAGUCUGUGCUUAUCUAAGACAAGAUUACCACGUGUGUCGACACAUGAUUGGGGAUAUCCCCACAAUGUUAUUUUAUUUAACACUCGCACUUAACACUGGUCGAUAUUCGUAGCUUUGCCGUUUCCAUGGUUACCACGUGUAGUACCCAGAUCAGACACGUUACAGACAAUAGUGUCUCCCUGUCUGAAUUUUUGUACACCGUUUAUCAUAGCCUGUUAUGAUAGGCUCAAGCAGAAUGGUAAUCAAUCCUCCUCACGUUCCAUAAUCCCAGCAAUAAAAGAUACUGUGGACAGUCCAUCAUACCCAGGACUACAGUAUCCUAGAUGCCAACCACAUAAUGGAAGAAAUGAAGAAAAAACAACCAAAUGUGGCACUCUCAUUUCACAAAUGAUGGACCAAUCAUUCCCACUAUGCAGACAAGAAAUUCUAAAAAACAAGGGCCUGCUGUACAGAACAUGGUUAAACGAUGGCCAGCACUUUUCACAGAGAGACAGGUGUUUGCUGAGUUUAAUAGAAUCGACAGUAAGAAUCUUGAGGGGGACUUGAGGCUUUGGACCAGUAUGCCCCACGUUUCAUCAAACUUUUCAAAACAAAAAGGGAAACCCAAGGACUGAGUUGGCCAGAAACUCAAGGAGCUGAUGCAGCACAUGAGCUGGCUGACACCAGACGUGACAGUACUUCACUCAUUUGUCCUCAAAGGCAUGACGACUCCAGUGAAUUCUACAAGACCUGCUCUGAUGCAGCGAGAGACAAGGCUCUAGAACGCAUCACUGUUGGUGUCCUGACGGUUGUCAGUGAAGAUAGUCCUCACGAAGCUUAGUGGUCCUCCAGCCCAUCUCCACUGCCAUCAUUCUGGAGGGAGGUAUUGUUAUGGAUAAUGUUAAGAACUUGCCUCAAGUCUUUUGUUUGGGCUUACAUAUGCAUUGCAUUUGGAUUACCCAAAAUGCAUGGCAAAUACACUCAACUUCAUUCAGACUGUGAUGCUUGGACUGGGAAAGAAAAACCUCCCACCAAAACGGUUGACUCUGAAGAACAGUCUUCUGGGUUAGAACAAUAAAGAGCUGUCAGAUAGCACUUUGUAAGCUUUGCAGCUAUUAAUGUUCUCCUGUUAUUAGAGACAGUUUGAUGCUGUCAUGCAACUGUAUUUGCUUCUGAUCUUAAUAAAAAAAGAAAUUCUAUUAAA